rnacentral:rRNA from 1 species
CCUACGGGUGGCAGCAGUGAGGAAUAUUGGUCAAUGGGCGCGAGCCGGAACCAGCCAAGUAGCGUGAAGGAUGAAUGCCCUACGGGUUGUAAACUUCUUUUAUAAAGGAAUAAAGUGAGGCACGUGUGCCUUUUUGCAUGUACCUUAUGAAUAAGGACCGGCUAACUCCGUGCCAGCAGCCGCGGUAAUACGGAGGAUCCGAGCGUUAUCCGGAUUUAUUGGGUUUAAAGGGAGCGUAGAUGGGUUGUUAAGUCAGUUGUGAAAGUUUGCGGCUCAACCGUAAAAUUGCAAUUGAUACUGGCAGUCUUGAGUACAGUUCAGGUAGGCGGAAUUCGUGGUGUAGCGGUGACAUGCUUAGAUAUCACGAAGAACUCCGAUUGCGAAGGCAGCUUACUAAACUGCGACUGACAUUGAUGCUCGAAAGUGUGGGUAUCAAACAGGAUUAGAUACCCCGGUAGUC